AACAAACACCAUAAGGUCAUC
rnacentral:snRNA from 1 species